rnacentral:rRNA from 1 species
ACUCCUACGGGAGGCAGCAGUGGGGAAUCUUGCGCAAUGGGCGGAAGCCUGACGCAGCAACGCCACGUGGGGGAUGACGGCCUUCGGGUUGUAAACCUCUUUCGGCCUUGACGAAGGCAUCUCUGUUGGGGGUGUUGACGGUAGGGGCAGAAGAAGCACCGGCUAACUACGUGCCAGCAGCCGCGGUAAU